rnacentral:rRNA from 1 species
AUUGAACGCUGGCGGAAUGCUUUACACAUGCAAGUCGGGCGGCAGCACGGGGGCAACCCUGGUGGCGAGCGGCGAACGGGUGAGUAACACAUCGGAACGUACCCUGUCGUGGGGAUAACGAAUCGAAAGAUUCGCUAAUACCGCAUACGACCUGAGGGUGAAAGCGGGUGAUCGCAAGACCUCGCGCGAUAGGAGCGGCCGAUGUCGGAUUAGCUGGUUGGUGGGGUAAAGGCUCACCAAGGCGGCGACCCGUAGCUGGUCUGAUAGGAUGAUCGGCCACACUGGGACUGAGACACGGCCCAGACUCCUACGGGAGGCAGCAGUGGGGAAUUUUGGACAAUGGGCGCAAGCCUGAUCCAGCCAUUCCGCGUGAGUGAAGAAGGCCUUCGGGUUGUAAAGCUCUUUCGGCAGGAACGAAACGGUGAGGGCUAAUAUCCCUUGCUACUGACGGUACCUGAAGAAGAAGCACCGGCUAACUACGUGCCAGCCGCCGCCGUAACAC